rnacentral:rRNA from 1 species
UACGGGGGAUGCAAGCGUUAUCCGGAUUUAUUGGGUUUAAAGGGUGCGCAGGCGGAGGUGCAAGUCAGUGGUCAAAUUGCGGGGCUCAACCCCGUACUGCCGUUGAAACUGCAUCCCUUGAGUGCGCGAGAAGUAUGCGGAAUGCGUGGUGUAGCGGUGAAAUGCAUAGAUAUCGCGCAGAACUCCGAUUGCGAAGGCAGCGUACCGGCGCCAGACUGACGCUGAGGCACGAAAGCGUGGGGAUCGAACAGG